rnacentral:rRNA from 4 species
AGAGUUCAAGAGUACGUGAAACCGUUCAGGGGUAAACCUGAGAAACCCAAAAGAUCGAAUGGGGAGAUUCAUCGUCAGCGGUGGGGGCUUGCGUGUGGCUCGCGAUGCGUCGGCGCCUCGGCGCCGGCGCACGCGGUCGCUGCGUCAUGAUUCCCAUCGUCGGCGCGCACUUCUCCCCUAGUAGGACGUCGCGACCCGUUGGGUGCCGGCCUACGGCCCGUUUGGUCGACUGUCGCGUCGCGUUCACGCGCGCUCACGCGGCAGACCUUCGGUCGCCCGGUCGGCUGCUCGGCGGUAUCGAACGCUUUUUUGAUGGUAUAGAGCCGCACCUAGGUGCGUCUUGGCCCGUCGGCAGGCUCGUCUCGCUCGGAUUUACGGACCUAGUGCCGUUGCUGGGCGCUUGGCGCGGUCGUUAGUCGACGGUGUCCUCGGACCGGCUCGUUGUCGCCUCGCGCGGCGUAUUACCCGUCGGCGACGCUUUUGCUUUGGGUACUUUCAGGA